AGCGAGCCGCGCUAGCCUAGCAACGUUUUUUAGCAGCAAGCUCCGGUCUAACGACCCCCUAACCUAGGUUGGGGCGAAAACUCCAAAAUCCAAAACGUUGGAUAGGGUUCCAUACCUUUCUCUAAUAAUAAGGUAAGCUUUCAAGCUGGCGCCCUUUAAAGGAGCGGGCGCAGUGAACUCUAAUUGUGAAAAGAUUGGAAGAUCUGGCCAAAGAAGGUGAUAGCCCUGUAGAUUCGUUCCCAUGGUUCAAUCCUUCCCAGUAAAACGCGGCGUGUUCGAAUUCUCAUCACUUUUAUGCGAGAAAGGGUGACCACCCUCUAAGCAUAAGUAUUCCUCAAUGACCGAUAGCAUACAAGUAUCAUGAGGGAAAGGUUAAAAGAACUCUAUUUAUGAAGUGCUAUCGAGAACCUUAGAUCCGAUGCGAACAAUCAGUCGAAGGAGCGGAUCUUAGAGCCUUUACUUUAAGUAAAGCGCACUCACUCUAAUGGCGUACCUUUUGCAUGAUGGGUCAGCAAGGAAACGGGAACAGCGGCUUAAGCCAUUAGGUGUAGGCACUUUCCAGAGGUGGAAUCUUCUAGUUCUUCCUAUUUGACCCGAAACCGAUUGAUCUAGCCAUGAGCUGGUUGAAGAGAGCUAUAACAUGCCUUGGAGGACCGAACCCGCGUAUGUGGUAAAAUACGGGGAUGACUUAUGACUAGGGGUGAAUGGCCACCAAGAACAGAUAUAGCUGGUUUUCCGCGAAAUCUAUUUCAGUAGAGCGUAUGAUAUCGAUGGCCCGAGGUAGAGCACUUAAUGGGAUAGGGUGGCCUCAUUUCGCCUUUCCAACCCCAGGCAAACUUCGAAUACAGGUGUAGAUUGUUUGUACAGACAUACUUUUUGGGUGCUAAGAUCCAAAGUCGAGAGGGAAACAACCGAGAUCGUACACUAAGGUCCCUAUGCAAUCACUUGUAAAAGGAAGUGAUCGAGCGAUGACAACCAGGAGGUUGGCGUGGAAGCAGCCAUCAUUUGAAGAAAGCGUAAUAGCCCACUGGUAUAGCUCCAUGGAUUCGAAAAUUUAUCAUGGCUCAAGUGAUUGACCGAAGCGACUAGACCUUGAAAGCUGCUUUUUCAAGUGUCAAUAGCGGAACGUUCUGUCAAACGGGGAAGGUUUUUGGUGAUAAGACCUGGAGACAUCAGAAGUGAGAAUGCUGACAUGAGUAACGAAAAAUCCUGUGAAAAACACAAUCGCCUGCCAGUGGAAGGUUUUCUGCGUUCGGUUGCCUAUAAUACUAGGACCAAUAGGUUUAAAAUGGGUUUGCGCCGUAGGUGUUGAAUGAUCUACUCUACACAAGUGUGGGCUUACAGGGCUAGGGCUCAUAAACCCUUACAUUCAUUUAUCAAUAGGGCCCUGCCCUGAUCGGUCACUUUUCUGGGCCGGGAUCGAUAAGUGGAAGUCAUAAAAAAGAAAUCUUUCUCUUCGCACCUCAGAUCAAGAGGAAGGGUUGCUUGUCAAGCUGGCCUAUAUAUAAUAAUAAGAAAUUUCUUUCUAUUUUAAAGAAAUCAUUCUCUUUACACCUCAGAUCAAGAGGAAGGGUUGCUUGUCAAGCUGGCCUAUAUAUAAUAAUAAGUUUCUUUCUAUUUUAUAUUAUUAUUUAAUUAUACGCAAAAUGGAAAGAUUCGCUUUCUUUUAACCGGCUCCUUCUUCUUUGUCAAUGCUACUAAGGACCUACAGGUUUGCCUGCUUUUCUUAUUAAAGAUAAUGAGAAUGGGUUAUUCAAAUAAAAAGGAAAAGGCCAUACUUAGUUGACUGACAAUGCAAAGGCGUGCGAAACUAAGUAGGGCCUGAGGCCCCCUGCAAAUCCGUAAACUCUAGGAGCAUGCCGGAACAAAAGGAUGGUCCCCUAUGCAUUUCAUUUUAUUCCUUAAGGGAAAAAAAGUAUCCCCAUCAUAGUGAACCUCUCCUUGUGAUUGAAAUGAUGUAGAUGCCUCCCUGAUGGGGGGCGGAUCGAAUCGGAGUUUCCUUAGGUAGCCACCGACGUACAGUUAUCCUUGAAAUUCCGUGCUUGGUGGAGAAGAAGCGAUCAAAAGUACGCUCGCUUGCUGUUUUGUUCUCUGUCGCAAAGUGGGAUCGCUCGCUAGCUAGGUUAGAUUGGAGCAAGAUUUUAUGAGAACAUAUUCCGCAUACCCGGGGAGAAGGGUCGAAACCACCUCUCGAUCUACUUAGUGCAGCCCAGGAAGAAAAAUGUCGUCUAGGCGUUCCCUCUUGCUCCGAUCUCCCCUACGCCUACGACGUUGUCUGGGCCAAGAGCCAUAGUUAGUUUUUGAUACUAGCAAGACCCAGCCAGAUGAUGUCUGCUGGUUGGUAGUGAGAGGACUCUUACUACCUGCAUACCCAAAAGAUGGUGCUGGUUAAAAAACAAUCAUUUUAUUUUCUUUCUUGCUCUCCCUUAGCAGCAGGAAAGGAUUCUAUCUAUCUACCUAGCGUUGGUAGAUUUCCCCCAAUGCAAUCCAUAGAAAUUACACGAAUCAAUUGGUGGAUAAGUCUGAUGACUCAGCAGAAGUGCGGAAUUAAGUUUCUUGUCUGGUAGAUCUGAUCUAUAGUUGGGGGCAAUACAUACCAAAAGGUUUGAAGAAGGAAUGCGCGUAAGAGUAUGUAACAAACCUACAAUUCUGUAUAACCUAUUCACGUUAGUGAAGCAGUUGGAUGCACAAGGGAAGUGCACGUUUGUGAGACCUUAGUCGUGACGCAUAGGUGAGUGAACCUACGAGCACGGAAGAGCAUGGUACCGCUACGCCUCUCUAUGUAAAGGUAAGAUUCAUAGCCCAGUAGAUGACUCCAUCUAAAAUACAAUAGGGACAGUCGUUUUCGGCUGCUCGUUUUGUAUCUUGAAGAAAGAGUAGGCUUAUGUAAUGUAAUGGGGGUUAGGUCAAUAAUAGCUAUGCUAUUGCCCUUCUUAUUUAACGCCUCAGCCCGAUCCCGAAUGCACAUUUUUUUGGGUUCAUCAUCAAUUGAUGUUUUCUUAACCUUUCAAAGACCUUCCAUAAAUUUUCGAUGUGGUCGGUUCUUUCUUUUGAAAAGACUACCAAAUCGUUCACGUAAGGCUCGCAUAUUUUACGUAGGAGGUCACUGAUAAUUUGUGUCAUCUCUCUUUGCUAUGUUGCACUUUUUUUUUGUGUUCUUCAAAAAUUCUGGAGGUUGAGUGUGCAUAAAAUACCAGUGCCAUUGAUUGUCCUUACACACUUCAUUGACCCUGAUCUUUUCUUGCCUGGAAUGAUCUGCUAAAAAAGCUGUGCAAUGGGCUCAACCCGCCUUUGGAUGAUGAGCCAGAGUGAGAACCGAAAAUAAGCUAAUGGACCUCCUACCCUCUGAACUUCCUAGAUUGAGCUGGUCCAAAGUGUUUCCGGCAAAGCAACGAAUGCGCGUCAAACCUUUCGGCCUCGUGUUAACCACAUAAAAGAGACGAUUCAUUCUAUUCCCUCGGUUAUAUUUGACUAUGACCCAGAGGAUAUCCCAAAGUGGGCAUCCGGGCUCAUCCCUCCAUUCACGGCCGCGCUUUCAAAUCGUGCUUUAUUGAGUGUUAACAAUCGGUUACAGCCAACAUUUGUUAACUAGUGAUAAAGAAGUAAAAUUUAUAUAUAUAUAAUGCCGUUUAAUGGCUGAUCUAGCAUGGAGGUGUUCAGAGGAACCAGAAUGUGGGACUACCCGAAGGCUAGGUCUUCAUUUUUGCAGCCCGUACCGUCUUUUGAUGGGCAGUUGAACCGUCUCUGCCGCAUCCUGUUACUGCCUUUGGAUUAGGCGAUUGCCCGUCCGUCUUCAGGCUGACAAUGCUCUCAAAGCCCUUACGAUCGCUAGCCAAGAGAGAAGCUCCGAGCUAACAAAGGUAGAAUAAGGAUGAAGGUAGGCAGGCGAGUAGAAGGAUAGCUAAAAGAUUGGUCUAGAUAUAUAUCAGCAGUAAAAAAAUGUAGACUUCACAUCCUUCGCGCAUGAGUUUUCUAAUUGGCUAUGAUACGAUCGCUAUCCAAGAGAGAAGCUCCGAGAUAACAAUGGUAGAAUAAGGAUGAAGGUAGGCACGCGAGUAGAAGGAUAGCUAAUAGAUUGGUCUAGAUAUAUAUCUGCAGUAAAAAAAUAUAGACUUCACAUGUUUCGCGCAUGAUUUUCUAAUUGGCUAUGGUCUCUCUUCUCAACUCCUCGGGAACUUCUGAUAGUAAUCUAAUCCACGGAAGUCUUAGAGGUUAGGAAGAUUCUUUAGAUUUUUUUGCAUUCCCGUACUGUUAUUUAGAAGCCGGAAACAAAACAAAAACUUGUUUUUGCCAUACUUUUCCGACCCCAAGGGUUAUUUGUUGUAGUUCGAUGAUCCUUUUUAUCUGCUUCGUGGCUAGAAGAGACCACUUCAUUUACUCUCUAACGUUCCUGAGAAUAGAUUCCAUGGUAAAUCUUAAAUAUACAAUAAUAGAAAGUAUAUAUCAUAUAAAAAGUAAGAAAAAGGGCAUUUUUUAUAAUUUCGUUUCGAAGCGGUAAACAUAGAAAGACUAUGUAUCAGUUCUAAGUCCCGUAGAAGAUCUUCCUAAUACCAUUGAAUUAGGUCCUAUGAAAACCUCUUUCUAUGAACUUCACCCAAACUCUUACAGUAGCAAUAGAAUUGGCUUCAGUUGAAUGAAAUUGCCUGGACGUCAUAAUGGAUUCUGACUCUUUCGGGGGCAAAGCGAGAAUCGGAUUCUUUCUUCUCCUCUGGGCUAAAUCCUCCUGGCUCUUCCUAAUCCCUUGGAAACAUACUCUAGAAUUAGCUAAUUUAUCAGCUAGAAUAAAUGCCUUAGAAUGGAAUCUUCUUCCUUACCAGGGCUUACUACUGUCUUUGCUGUCUUUCAGAAGAUUUAUUUCACUGUCGAAAUGAUGAUAGAAUCCAUUAGCAGCUAACAGAUCAAAUGGAUCUCACCUAGGCUGCUUCUCAUCCAACACCUGGUUAAUCCCUUACUUAUACAACUAUCGAGAUCCAUUAGCAGCUAACAGAUCAAAUGGAUCUCACCUAGGCUGCUUCUCAUCCAACACCUCCCUUACUUAUACAACUUAUACAGAUAAACGGGAGUUAAGCAUAAGAGAACAGCAACGAAGUAUGAAAGCCACUUAUGAGUGGCUAAGGCUGGCUUUACUUAGAUCCGUAACCCAACAUAAAUAACAUAGAAGAGAGCUGCUAUAAUCUUGACAGUUUAAUUACCAUGGGAAGAAGGGCUAGGAAGUUCGAAUAACUGCCUAUGCCCAGUAAUUCCAUUUCCAAUCACAUAGAAUCUUUUCCUAUGAUCUGCCUAGUCCUCGAUAGUGGGUUGAGUUCUGUCUAUUUCGGCUAUUGAUCUCGAAGGUAACUAAGACAGAUCCAAACCGCGACUCUCAACACAACUAGGAACCCUGGGCCUAAGGCCUAUAGAUUGAGAAGGAAGCAAGUAUGAAGAUUUUUUCCUGAUAUCAACAAUUUGCUUUUCUUCUUGAUCUCUUCCAAGGUAAGCCUUUAAGAGGGAGUCAAAUCGUGCUUAUGAGUCUUUGUUCAGACAACUAAUACACCUACAUAGCAUAGACUGACUUACAAGGAUAGAUUUAUAGAAAUGCCUAAUUAUACACUUCUAUUGGAUUGGGUUACAUGUCCAUCCUUGAUAUUCUUCCAUCUAGCUCCUAUCUCAGAUCCCGUCCAGUUCAUAGAGCAAUCGUAAGUCCAUAAGUCAUUAUAAGGUUUUAGUAGCUGCAUCGGGGAAUAGAUCAAUCAGAAGUAGGUUAAAGUAGUAAUGAGGAGAAAGAAUCGUCUUCUAAUUAGUUACUAGGGAAUCAAAGUCAGUGGUAUCUGAAUACACAAUAUUUAAAUACACAGCCUCAUGUUAAUAUAGGAUAGGACUUAUUCACAGUUUUUUAUAUUACGUAUAUAGAGAUUAAAAUCCUGAACUGGAUUACUAAUCUUAUGAGUAUAAUUUGUGCUACUAAGAUUUAGACUUCAAUUUGUCUAAUCAAUUCCUCAGUUUUCUAAGGAAACUCAUUCUAUUUAGUUGAUACCAUACGGGCCGGAAGAAUGGCCAGGUAACUCUACUAAAAAUACUUAGCCUAAGACUGGAGAAAACAACUAACAAUAUACCGUUCGUGCUUUAGAGGAUCCAGAUGAUAUAGAAGAAAGAGUUUGAUUGGGUGAAUCUUCUUAUACGUCCCGAGUUAAAUUGCAUUACUAAACCUGGGUAAGCCAUUCCUAGGCAAAUAUUUUCACCGGUUACAGAUCCUCUGUAUGUUAAGGAAGAAGCUAGUAUUGAGGAUUAAGUUGAGCAGUAAUCAUAUCUGUAUCCCUUUGAUUCCAUUCCAACGGAGAAAAAAAUACCGUAACUAAAAAGGAUGGAAAAAGCCUAGGAAUCUGAAAAUUUUUUUAUCUAUAUCAAUACUCAGGUCUUACAAGUACGGAAAGAGAUGGAGAGAACUCUAAGUCACUCAAAACAUCUAUUCGUUUUUUGGUGCCUCCUACCAUGGAAUCUCUUUCACCGCCUAUAAUGGAUACAACCAGGACUUAGAAUACACUAAUAAGGGGGUCUAACUCAGGCAGANNNNNNNNNNNNNNNNNNNNNNNNNNNNNNNNNNNNNNNNNNNNNNNNNNNNNNNNNNNNNNNNNNNNNNNNNNNNNNNNNNNNNNNNNNNNNNNNNNNNNNNNNNNNNNNNNNNNNGGCAAGUAAGCCAUAAGCUCACUAUCUAGCUUCUUAGGGCUUAACUACUUUAUCCGCUAGAGGAAGAUAAGCUGCUUUGGCCAAAAAAAUCUGACGGGCUAGCAAGUAAAGAAAGGAUACAAUAGGUAGUUAGGAAAGCUCCGCAAUUUCGAUAUCCCUUCCUCAUCCCGUAAGCCUGACUAAGGAAAUUAAGCGUAACUCCAAGCCUCGAAUAAGCCUCGGGCGAAACAUAAGACUAGAGCAUUACGAUCUAGAUUCCUAUAACUCUUUCUAAAUCCCGGGAAGAAUGUAUCCACUUGGUAGGCAUAAGUGGUGCAAAGUGGCGCAAAACAAAAGAUUUUAUAAUGUCAAAUUUUGUUUGUAUUCAGCCUUUGACCUAAUCUUUAUACUCGCCCCAUUUCUUGGACUCCUUACAGGUAUUCCACUCGUUGGUGUGGGUGCUUUACCUGAGUCUAUCUCUGAAGGUCUGGCUUCUAACUAUAACAACUAUCAAGUCGCCUUCGCUACUCUCCUUGGUGUGCGUGCUUUACCUGAGUCUAUCUCUGAGGGCCUGGCCUCAAUUCAGUGCCUAAUUUCUUCCGUAGCAUCCUCUAAUAGAGGACAGACUUCUGUCUUUAUUGGGCGUAAUGCUCCCCCUUCGUCAUAGGGCGUGCUUUCUCACCACCUAAUGACGAUCCAAUCACGAUCAUGGGGUUGCCCAGUUCUAAUUCCAUAUGAAGAAUAUAAUGGAAAUCAAGACCCCGGAGCUUCUUUAGUUCCAGAUGAUCCGAAUCCAAUCUCAUCUCUUGAGCUAUACCAAUAACUUAUGCAAAUUACUUAUUUUCCCGAGCUUAGUUAAUAAAUAAGGGGAGAUGGAGACCCUGAUUUGGACCAUCGUGAUCGAGCUUAUGAUUGUAAUGAACGUGGAGCUAUAGUCAAACGUUCCAAACCAGGUUGAGAGCUCCGAAGCUUAUCCACCUGAAGCACUCACUUCAACUACGCCCUGCAGUGGAAGCUGUAGCCGCAAGCUUCACUGUGGAGGAUGGCGGUCAGAUGGAGCUGAUUAGAUCCACAGCCGAGAUGGGGCCAUCCUUGGAGUCAAAGAGCUAUCACCCGCUAUAUCAUUGAUGCAGACGAGGCUUCCUCGCAUCAUACCGUUGUUUCUUUGAAAGAUGAUUCGACGUUGUGAUGCGAAGGCUGACCGGUUCUUCUUUAUCUACCAUGGUUUUCGAUAUCGUGGGUAGUCCACUCAUAUUGUAAGAUUAGUAUGGCUACCUUUGGGUCGAUCUUUGAGAGAUGUAUCUCCUACUACGGUGUUCAGUCUAUUUGUAGUGAAUUAACUACACCGUUUCAUCACCUACAAAAGACAUAUCUCCCGUGGAUCUCGGAGAUCCCUCCUUCUCGGGGUAUUUCCUGGGUCAAGUAUUCAACUCGUUUGCUAUCGGGAAUUUAGUAGAGUGGCCUUGAAAGAAGCAAGCCUACUCUUCUUCACGUGUAAUGCUUUCUUUACGGAUAUCUUUCUUUUCGUAAACCCCCAAGGGAUUUCAUCAGGGUAAAUUCCAAUCUAACUAUUAAAUAAAUAAUUACGACUAAUCGUAAGAGGAACUAUUCUAUAUGUAAUCUUCAGAAUAGAGCUCUGAUACCACCUAAUUAAAUAAAUAAAUACGGCUAAUCGUAAGAGUAACUAUUCUAUGUGUAAUCUUCAUAAUAGAGCUUUGAUACCACUCUAAUGAAAGCAAAAAUCCCGAGAAAAUGUAUCUAGAAGAGCUUGAGUAUUUAAAGUUACCUUUAGGGCUAGUUAGGUAAAACCUUAUAUAUGCAAUUAUCAGAUCGAUCUUUCAAGGACACGAUGGAACUUUUCUCCUUGACUUCAGAUUAGGAAUAUUUUCUUCCGAGAUUGGAACGACCUAUGUUGUAACGGAUGAGAGAAGGUGAGCAACUUCCUUUGGUCGCCUCUCCCGUCUGGUCGAGUAGCUCUCGCUCCUUCCUACUUACUUUAUUAUAAUAUAAGAUUAAGCUGCUACGUGGCCUAUUGGGAGCUUUUUAGUCAUAGUGGGAGCUUUCGGAGAUCACUUAGCAGGUCUUCGUCAUAGGAAGAGGGAAGAACAAGGGAGAAGAUCUUAUUUAAUCAAAGACAAUUCCAAAAGAAAGUCAAAACGGGGAAUAGAAUGCCUUAAAGGUAAAGACGAAUGAUCCUAAAUAAAAAAGAAAAUACCUACCUUUCUAAUGAGAUGUGAUCUAACUAGGGAUAGCUGAACUAAGCCUCAUCAGAGGAGAAAAGAUUUGCUGCUUUCACACUUCUUCUUCCUGCGACUCCCUUUCUUUCCCACCGCUCCGUGAGGGGCCUUUUCUUCUCACUUGAGAGAUGCGAUUUGAAAGAAGAGAAGAGGUUCUAUCAGUUAAUCAUCAUCCCUUCCUCAAACGAAUUAGUUCCCAUCUGGUAACUAUAACUUAAUUAUGAGGGAAUAAUGAUAAGCAAAAUAAUCCUCACCUCGAAAGUCGUUGCUGAUCUGAUCUUUUCUUUCCUAGGCGUGGAUGAGACAAAGUCUUCUUAGUCGUCCGCUUUUCGGUGAUAUAUAUAAGAAGGAAUACAUGUCUCAAGGUAAACAGGAGUUUCCUGCUCAAGCGAAAUGAUACCGGCGCAAGGUAAUUCCAUUCUUUAGUUUGUGGCAGAGGGUUUUAGAACACUCUCAGUUAUUAAGGUCACUGCUUAACAAAGUGAUCCUGAUAGCUGCUGACGUACUAAGGAGUUAUGUAUUGGAGCUUACCUGUUUGCUUUUAUGGUAAUGAGGACGGCCCAAUGUUCGGGGAUGUUGCAUUGCGCUUUCUAUUUAAAGCAGUGUGCACUCUCUCUUCAGAAGGCUUGUGGCGGAGAAUUUAACCAUUACUCACUUCGCGUACCAUCUUUCUGACACGCUCCUAGGGUAUCAUAAUCCCCUCUUUUCAUAAAAAAACUUAUAUACAUACAAGAGGGAUGAUUAUAGUGAUUGUGUUAGUUCAGAUAUAUCUUUCCUUCGGGACCUUGGGAAAGGUUGUUUGCCUUGCCAAGAAGGAUACGUUCUCUAGCAUUAUUCUGUGUUGUCUUUGAUGUCUGAUAUUAAGGAAGUCUAAUUCCAAACCAACUGCAGUACCUACGCUAUCCUUUAACACAUUACCCAUUCCAUAAAUAAGGGGCCUUUACAAGAAGUCCCUAGACUAGGGAGAUCAAUCAUCUCCUCGGGAAUAAGAGUAACUCCUGGGUUUCUUUUAUAAUAAAAAAAACAAAGAUCCCCUUCCAAUACGGGCUCAAAUGCCGACCUCUUCCGAGCCAAAGCUCAAAAGGAAGUUGGAGCUUGGUCCACAACGAUAAAAACGUUAGUAAUGAAAAAAUCUCCGAUGGUCGAGCCUGCAAAUGACACGGAACCCAGCACCACCUACCAAGGCCAAUGUACUCAACCUUUGGAAAGGGUCUUUAAUGUGAAUUGCGAACAACCCACAAGGGUGGUAUGAUUGAAACAUAGUUUGAAUAGGGGCACAAGUCUAGAGCUGUGGUAUGGAAAAUAGAUGAGAAAAAAAAACCUCAUCUCUUUACUUAGUCAGAGUCAUUGUUUUACUCUUUCUAUCUGCAUGACUGCUUUCUUAUGAUGAGUAGUGCCCAUCACUUGCCUCUCUGUGCCCUGUAUGAAGGAGCAUCCACUGCGCUUACUAGUGGGUAUAUAGAUGAGAAAAAAAACCUCAUCUCUUUACAGUGCAUCUCGGCAAAAUAGAACUGAGAACCAUAAGGUGAGCGCCGAAAUUCUAGCACAAACUGCUCCCACAGACACGCAUGAUAAGGGGGUGUGUGGACAACUAGGCCACCACUUUUACAAGAUAUGGGUCCGGACGACCCAAGAGGCUGCCACUAGAACCCAACCCUUAAGAGGCUGAGGUCCAAGGGGCUACCGCAGGAAGUCAGCUUCAUCUGUAACCUUAAGGAAUACAGAAAAUUACCCAGAAUUCCUACCAAGGACUUUGCCUGCUAUUCAAUCCUAAAUCCCUUUCACCCUUAACUAGCUAACUCGAUGGGACGUCAACAACGGGAAUGCCAAAUGCAAGACAUGGACCUGGUUCACACAGUCAAGCAGCAAAGACAUCUUUAUCUUCGGCACCUUUCGUAACGGCUAUAAAGAAUGGGUCUUUCCCCUUGUGAAAGUCUGUUGGGAUCGAUCCCUUCAACCGUGAUUGGCGUGGAAGGUCGCAAGAUCGGAUAUAGCUAGUUUUCCGAGAAAUCUAUUUUAGUAGAGCAUAUGAUGCCGAUGGCCUGAGGUACAUCACUCAAUAGGCUAGGGUGGCCUCAUUUUGCCUUACCAACCCCAGGGAAACUCCGAAUACAGGCCUAUAUCAUUUAUGCAGACAGACUUUUUGGGUGCUAAGAUGAAAAGUUCAGAGGGAAACAGCCCAGAUCGUACGCUAAGGUCCCUAGGCAAUCACUUAGCGGAAAAGGAAGUUAUCGAGCAAUGACAACCAGGAGGUGGGUUUGGAAGCAGCCAUUGUCUGAAUAAAGCGUAAUAGCUCACUGUUCUAGCUCCAUGGCACCGAAAAUUUAUCAGGGCUCAAGUGAUUCACCAAAGCGACGGGACCUUGAAAGCUGCUUUUUCAAGUGUCAGUAGCAGAAUGGUCUGUCAAUCGGGGAAGGUUUUUGGUGACAAGACCUGGAGAUAUCAGAUGUGAGAAUGCUAACAUGAGUAACGCAAAAUCCUGUGAAAAACACGAUCGCUUGCCAGUGGAAGGUUUUCUUUGUUCAGUCAAUCUACGCACAGUGAAUCGUUCCCUAACGAACCCUCGAAAGGGCUACCAUCCGAUGGGUAGACAAAAGUGACGAAGUUGCUUUGGCUACAGAACCAUGCCUGUCUCUUGGAGCAAAUUGGAUGAUUGGGCCGAGGGUUGCCCACUCUUCCCCUCACUCUCCUUUCCCUAAUAUGAACCUUGAUUCAUCAAAGCCUUUCUGAAAAUCUUGGCUCACCCAUACCGCGGUGUAUUGUUGUCAACUCACAUAGUCGCACCUACCAGCAACAAAACGACUACUCCCUAGUAAACGGUGCUAUUUAACACUUCGGUUCGCUCAAUACAAGAACUACAGUCCAACCUAGCUUAAGGAUAAAGCCGUGGAGUACACCCCCGUGAGAGCCCUCUUUUUGACUAACAUACUCCCUUUUGAUCUCCCCCAUACAUUCAUAUCAAAGCUGGGAAUGAUUGACUUUCGAAUUAAAAUAAUAGCGCAUAUUGGCAGUACUGCUUCCCAAUUCUUCUUUUAUGAUCUUAUCUACUUGAAAUGCUUACCCGUAAGUGUGGAAAAGGUACCCAGGGGACCAAACAAAAGGGCACUAAAAGUUGUUCAAUUAAAGCUUCGCCAGUACUUCAAAGACUAGAAGGAACUACUUGAUGAGUUUCAUUAUGAGUGAGUUUGUAGGUGCCUUUUAGUCGAGUGUAGCGAAGGGAUUCUCCUAAGAGAAGCUUUAGCCCUUGAACCUGAAAUGACUUUUAUGAGCUGUCUCAGUAGUGACCGACUUUAUUUUAUUAGCUGUAUGAUUAGUGGCUUAGCUGUUAGCUGUCUAAAAGCUACGGUAAAUAAAAUCCCUUUUGAAAAUAAACCACUAAUCCGCCUUGGUACUCUUUUAUGUCCUUGUAAGGCGGAGGGAAUGAAGCAACCUGUAGGAGGCUGAAAAGCCGUAGUGCACUUGCGCUGGCGAGUUAGCGCAACAACUUAGUGUCAUGUUUUCUUAGGUGCUUUUUUUUUACAUAAGGUCCGCAGGAAGCAGUUGCUAAAGCUUGUAGCUUGCCUCUGUCCUUAGUCAAUUUUGUAUUGAAGCUGUUAAGAGAAGAAGAAAUCGUUGUGUAGAAAGUCUUGCUUACUAUCUCCUCCGUCUAACUUAUGUAAGAAAAGAGCGAAAAGCUUACUUUUAGGUAGUGCCCUAAGAGCUAAGAAGCUCCAAUCAUGCUAUUCAGACAAUACACUUAACACAUGCAAGUCGAACCUUGGUUUUCGGAGUUUGAAAGAGAAGGGGAAGAAGCGGGGUAGAGGAAUUGGUCAGCUCAUCAGGCUCAUGACCUGAAGAUUGAAGGUUCGAAUCCUGUCUCCGCCUAAUCAGUGGAACAUUAUUCACCGGCAUAGAAGGCCGGUCCCAACCCGUCCACAAAAUGGGGCUACUGUUCAGUCUUGGUUGGUUCCACCUCUUUGCAGGCUGAUGACACCAGUAGCUAUUACGCAUAGAUGAUAAUUUCUUAGACUAUUGAAUUCCAACUUAGAGCUCCUCUCCAUACAGUCAAGUGGCUUUCACUACUUCUACUCUAAACUACUGUGUGCCUAUUUUGCGCUUUUCUCAGUCAAAGUCAAAGGUUUGUUGGUGGCAAGAUCGGCAUGCCUUCUAGUUGUAGUUGACUUUAAGCGCACCAAAACUACCCAUAGUCGUCUAUUUACGGGCUUGCACUCAGUAGUCAAUCAAUUCAUUUUUCCGCUUUCUAUUGCACGCUUCAACUAUUUCUUUUUGUAGUGUGUGAAUUAUAACUAAUGGAAAGUGCCUAUGAAUUAGUUCCAAGAAAGCGGCCGUUCACGUCAGGAAUAUAGGCCGUUAAGGAUGUACUUGCUUUUCCUUUUUUUUCGUCGAGAUAGGGUACAAGAUCGAAAAGAAUGCAUUGGUUGGAUGCCCGAGCAUUGAGAAGGAAGGACGCUUUCAGAGGCGAAAUAUGUACUUGCUUUUCCUUGUUUUCAUCGAGAUCGGGUUGGUGUUUAGUGUACCGCUUGUGAUGCCUAUGCUUCGCAAGCCUACAUAGGGUACAAGAUCAAAAAGAAUGCAUUGGAUGGAUGCCCGGGCAUUGGGAAGGAAGAACGAUUUUAGAGGCGAAAGCCCAUAGGAAGAUACCGUCUGUGAUCCAUGGAUCUCUGAUCGGGAAACCAAAUCCAAGCUCCGUGGCUAGUCUGCGCCCUUUGGACUUUUCAAACAUAGCGAACUGAAACAUCUUAGUAGAUAAAGGAAGGGAAAUCAACCAAGACCCUGUUAGUAGCGGCGAUCGAGAGCGGAUUGGGGGUUUGAAGAAAAACAAACAUGAAGCUUCGUUCCUCAGUAAAGUGUUCACUUCUUUUUCGCCAAGUUUCAUUCGAUUUGUUGUGGAUCGGAUGAUGGAAAAACCAGAAAGCUACGGCUUUAAAGCUUACCUUAUUUAUAAAAGGAGAAAGGGCUUUUUUAUAGAUGUUGAGGUUGAGUAAGGGGGGCGGAGCUUGAAGAGCAAAGCGAGCCGCGCUAGCCUAGCAAUGUUUUUCACUAGCAAGCUAUGGUCUAACGACCCCCUAAC
rnacentral:lncRNA from 1 species